rnacentral:rRNA from 1 species
GGAAUAUUGGUCAAUGGACGCAAGUCUGAACCAGCCAUGCCGCGUGAAGGAUGACGGCCCUCUGGGUUGUAAACUUCUUUUACAGGGGGAGAAAAUCGGGGAUUAUUCGUCGACUGACGGUACCCUGUGAAUAAGCACCGGCUAACUCCGUGCCAGCAGCCGCGGUAAUACGGAGGGUGCAAGCGUUAUCCGGAUUUACUGGGUUUAAAGGGAGCGCAGGCGGAUUGGUAAGUCAGUGGUGAAAGCCUCAAGCUUAACUUGGGAAUUGCCGUUGAUACUAUCAGUCUUGAAUGUUGUUGAGGUGUGCGGAAUGGGUCAUGUAGCGGUGAAAUGCAUAGAUAUGACCCGGAACACCUAUUGCGAAGGCAGCAGGCUAAACAAAUAUUGACGCUGAGGCUCGAAAGCGUGGGGAUCAAAC